rnacentral:rRNA from 1 species
UACGUAGGUGGCAAGCGUUGUCCGGAUUUACUGGGCGUAAAGGAUGCGUAGGCGGACAUUUAAGUCAGAUGUGAAAUACCCGAGCUUAACUUGGGUGCUGCAUUUGAAACUGGGUGUCUAGAGUGCAGGAGAGGUAAGUGGAAUUCCUAGUGUAGCGGUGAAAUGCGUAGAGAUUAGGAAGAACACCGUGGCGAAGGCGCCUGCUGGGCUAUGGCUGACACUGAGGCGCGACAGCGUGGGGAGCAAACAGG